UGACACAGUGAUGAGAGACUUGCAAGCAAUCAGGUUUUUGCAACAUCAAUUAAUCCAAGAAGCGAUUUUAUGCUGUACCUCCUUACUGAUCGGUAACCAUGCAUGAGGUUACACGUCCCCUCCCCCACCAAGAAUGUGCCUCCCUGCUGCAUUAGUAACUAUCUCUUCAACGCAUAUUCAGUUACCAGUCUCCCUCUAUAAUCAGCAGCAGCUUUUUUUUUGCAUUCUAGUAGACUAAAAGGACUGCAGUCGUUCAAAAUGCACUUUUGAAAUACACAUGCUGUGAAUGAAAAUGCAUAAUUUCAAGUACAGGCAGUCGCUGCUGUCCCUUCAUCAGCACCUCUGUCUCAGAUCUCCAAUGCAGCAAAAUUCCUGGUGCUUCUGAACAUUUUGAAUGCCUUGCAGUUGGAGCAGCACAGCAAAGUUUGUCACAGGCAUUAUACCAUUUUCAUAUUGUAUGGUAAAUUUAAACCCUUUGAAGCUGCACCACAGAAGACUAGAAAAGCUGGUAAGUUGAUAAUAUACAGGGACAUUGAAUAGUGUUAUGUAUGUA
rnacentral:lncRNA from 1 species